UACGUAGGGUGCGAGCGUUAAUCGGAAUUACUGGGCGUAAAGCGUGUGUAGGCGGAUCGUUAAGUGUCUUGUGAAAUCCCACGGCUCACCCGUGGAACGGCUGGGCAUACUGGCGAUCUUGGGCCAACUAGGGGCAACUGGAACAAGCGGUGGAGCGGUGAAAUGCGCAGAUAUCAGGAGGAACACCAAUUGCGAAGGCAGCUCGCUGGGACGUUACUGACGCUGAGACGCGAAAGCGUGGGGAGCAAACAGG
rnacentral:rRNA from 1 species